UCGAGGAUCUUUUGCAAUGCCCGAAAGGGUGACAAUGCGACGCCGCGUGCGCGAUGAAGGUUUUCGGAUUGUAAAGCGCUGUCAGCCGGGAGGAAGGCCGGACCCUCUAACAGAGGGGACGGAUUGACAGUACCGGCAGAGGAAGCCACGGCUAACUCCGUGCCAGCAGCCGCGGUAAUACGGAGGUGGCAAGCGUUACUCGGAUUGAUUGGGUGUAAAGGGCAUGUAGGUGGCGUGCUAAGUCGAAUGUGAAAUCCCUUGGCUCAACCAAGGAACUGCAUUCGAAACUGGCAUGCUUGAGCGACAGAGAGGAAAGUGGAAUUCUCGGUGUAACAGUGAAAUGUGUAGAUAUCGAGAGGAACACCAGUGGCGAAGGCGACUUUCUGGCUGUCUGCUGACA
rnacentral:rRNA from 1 species